rnacentral:rRNA from 1 species
AGAUUUAUCGGUGUAAGAAGGGCUCGCGUCUGAUUAGCUAGUUGGAAGGGUAAAGGCCUACCAAGGCGACGAUCAGUAGCCGGUCUGAGAGGAUGAACGGCCACAUUGGAACUGAGACACGGUCCAAACUCCUACGGGAGGCAGCAGUGGGGAAUAUUGCACAAUGGGGGGAACCCUGAUGCAGCGACGCCGCGUGAGCGAAGAAGGUUUUCGAAUCGUAAAGCUCUGU